GACGAACGCUGGCGGCGCGCUUAACACAUGCAAGUCGAACGGAAAGGCCUGCUUUCCCUUGUGGAUUGCGGGUACUCGAGUGGCGAACGGGUGAGUAACACGUGAGUGAUCUGCCCCCAACUUGGGUAUAAGCCUGGGAAACUGGGUCUAAUUCCCGAUAGGACUGCAGGGUGGUGCCUGUGGUGGAAAACGAUUUUCUAGUGGUUGGGGAUGAGCUCGCGGCCUAUCAGCUUGUUGGUGGGGAAUGGGCUACCAAGGCGGCGACGGGUAGCCGGCCUGAGAGGGUGGACGGCCACAUUGGGACUGAGAUACGGCCCAGACUCCUACGGGAGGCAGCAGUGGGGAAUAUUGCACAAUGGGCGGAAGCCUGAUGCAGCGACGCCGCGUGGGGGAUGACGGCCUUCGGGUUGUAAACUCCUUUCGACCGCGAGGAAGCCACCUGGUUGGAAGGGUGGUGACGGUAGUGGUAGAAGAAGCACCGGCUAACUACGU
rnacentral:rRNA from 1 species